rnacentral:tRNA from 1 species
GCCUCGGUAGCUCAGCCCGGCAGAGCACUUGCCUUGUAAGCAAGUCGUCGGGGGUUCAAAUCCCCCCCGAGGCU